rnacentral:rRNA from 1 species
CCUACGGGGGGCAGCAGUGGGGAAUAUUUGGCAAUGGGCGCAAGCCUGACCCAGCAACGCCGCGUGAAGGAAGAAGGCUUUCGGGUUGUAAACUUCUUUUCUCAGGGACGAAUCAAGUGACGGUACCUGAGGAAUAAGCCACGGCUAACUACGUGCCAGCAGCCGCGGUAAUACGUAGGUGGCAAGCGUUAUCCGGAUUUACUGGGUGUAAAGGGCGUGUAGGCGGGACUGCAAGUCAGAUGUGAAAAUGACGGGCUCAACCUGUGGCCUGCAUUUGAAACUGUAGUUCUUGAGUACUGGAGAGGCAGACGGAAUGCCUAGUGUAGCGGUGAAAUGCGUAGAUAUUAGGAGGAACACCAGUGGCGAAGGCGGGCUGCUGGACAGCAACUGACGCUGAGGCGCGAAAGCGUAGGGAGCAAACAGGAUUAGAUACCCUGGUAGUC